ensembl:lncRNA
UAUAUCUUUAUGUUUGAAGCCUGAAAUGUGGCAAAAGGUCGCAAAGUUCAAGGGGGCCGAAUACUUUCGCAAGGCACUGUACUAAUAUACUGAUCUGGGACCAGGCUAAUAUCCUGAUCUGGGACCAGGCUAACAUACUAAUAUACUAAUCUGGGAACAGGGUAAUAUCCUGAUCUGGGACCAGGCUAAUAUCCUGAUCUGGGACCAGGCUAAUAUCCUGAUCUGGGACCAGGCUAACAUACUAAUAUACUAAUCUGGGAACAGGGUAAUAUCCUGAUCUGGGACCAGUCUAAUAUCCUGAUCUGGGACCAGGCUAACAUACUGAUCUGGGACCAGGCUAAUAUCCUGAUCUGGGACCAGGCUAACAUACUGAUCUGGGACCAGGCUAACAUACUAAUAUACUGAUCUGGGAACAGGGUAAUAUCUUGAUCUGGGACCAGGCUAACAUACUGAUCUGGGACCAGGCUAACAUACUGAUCUGGGACCAGGCUAACAUAUACUAAUAUACUGAUCUGGGAACAGGGUAAUAUCGUGAUCUGGGACCAGGCUAAUAUCCUGAUCUGGGACCAGGCUAACAUACUGAUCUGGGACCAGUCUAACAUACUAAUAUACUGAUCUGGGAACAGGCUAACAUACUGAUCUGGGACCAGGCUAACAUACUAAUAUACUGAUCUGGGAACAGGGUAAUAUCUUGAUCUGGGACCAGGCUAACAUACUGAUCUGGGACCAGGCUAACAUACUGAUCUGGGACCAGGCUAACAUACUGAUCUGGGACCAGGCUAACAUACUGAUCUGGGACCAGGCUAACAUACUGUGUGUCUGUGAACAUUGGACCUCAGAAAAGGAUAGUAAACUGUGUCAAGUAAAAAAUGCAGUGCGCGUGACCUUUGAGCUUGACACACACAGCCUGUACACUAACUCAUGUUGCUGUCUAAUGUCCAUAAGGUGUAACAACCUAUCAGAGAUGUUCUAACAGAACUCAGUCCCAAGGAAUUUAUUACACGUGACAGUUGAACAUGUGGAACAUGUUUGGAAUUGUUUCUUUUAUGACAAACUGUUCAAAUAGUUCUACUGAAAAAAAAACAUUCCGUGGAGAAGAAGCAUGCAGGUACUGUUAGAGGGAGGUCGAUAUGUUGGGUGUGUUGGGACUUGUUCACCAGGAAAUCACUUUAGAUAGAGAGAGCUGCACCCUUUAGGUAGGGCUAACCACAAUCUAAAACAGCAAUCAUUCUAGCAAGCCUCUCCCUAAGUGUGUGUGUGUGUGUGUGUGUGUGUGUGUGUGUGUGUGUAUGUGUCAAUCGGUAGUGCGUGGCGCUUACAAAAGCGUAUAUCGUGGGUUUGAUUCCCGCUGGGGCCACCCAUACGUAAAAUCUACACACGUAUGUCGCUUUGGAUAAAAGAGUCUGCUAAAUGGUAGAUAUUUCUAUACACUACUGUGUGUGAGCAUACGGAUUACAUUAAGUAGGAACAAAAACAUCUAGGUUAAGUGUAAUGUGUUGUUUUACAGGGUCAGUCAUAGUAGUACAACACCCCUGGAGCAAAUUAAGGUUAAGUGCUUUGCUCAAGGGCUCAAGGGCACGUGUUCCCCUGGUGGGGCUCAGGUAUUUGGACCUCUCGGUGACUGUCCCAACGCUCUAACCACCAGAUUACCGGCUGCCCAACCAUUUGGGGGUCUAUCUACUUUUGUUUGAACCCUCCCUAUCCUCAAGGCUGGUUAACGGAAUGCAAAACAACGUCACACAC